rnacentral:misc_RNA from 1 species
CAUAGAUAACCUAGUUGAACAUUUUUCUCCUUUUGCAGUGCUACUAUAUCAUGUACUAAUACUGAACUACAAGGACAACAAGCAAUGUCUAGUACUGAUAAAACAAAAUACUCAUUGACUCCAUUAAACAUUACAUACUCACCCAGUGUGGAGCAACUGGAUCAUGAAGAGAAACAAAUAUGUUCAGUCCAUCGUAUAUUACCUGAUGUAUAUUUACACUGUAAAGGAGUAAUGAUUGCUGAGAGUAGGAAAUGUGGAGGGAAGCUACGUCUGAUGGAUGCUAGGAAGUUGUGUCGUAUUGAUGUAAAUAAAACUAGAAAGAUAUAUAAUCAUCUUGUGUCUAAAGAACUUAUAAAAGCACCAUCUUGAUUUCAUCCACAUAAUUUUAUUUUAUUGAUCUGCAUACCUUUUUCCUAUUUAGAAUCCUUAGAGGUGCUCACUAGUCACUUCCGUUCAGUUGAUGAGUAUAAAUAACGAGGGAGGGCCGAAAUGUAGUCACUUUAGAAAUGCGGUUACUUUUAGUUUUGCUGGAAAGAGCAAAAGCUUUAAUGGAGCGAGUGGCAGCUCCCCCUCGAGCUCCAGUGCAGGAGACCACUAGAGGAGCAGCAACCUCACCCGCCGUUAUUGUUGCUGGAGACUAUCUCUGGUACAAGAGGGACCCGCCACCAGAUGCUCACCUUCAGUUCUUGGUGCAAUCUGAGCAAGAGACCAGCUACUGUUACAGAAAAUGUGAGAUGGUUGCAUAAAGGCUCAACACAGCAAAAUAUCCAAAAACUGUGUUGUCUAACUGCUUGAUCACUGGAAAGGCCACCAACUCUCACAUUACUUCACUGCACAAUAAUACUGUGACAUACACAUGCAAAAGCAAUGUGACAAUUAAUCACUCGAUAUGCACACACAAGUAAAUUUCUAGUUCUUUAAUUUGUAUCAAAUGUAUUAUGUAUUGUGUCUAUUUUUGUUUCCAAUAAUGUUGAUCAUUUCUCCAAAGAGAC